AAGUUACCCGCAUUAUCAAAGUUACCCCGUUUUACGGUACUCCCAAUGUUGAAAUUUUUUUCUUUAAUUUUCAUAAGCUUGAAGUUGAAUUGAAACCACCGCUUAAAUUUUCAUGAACACAAAUCUGGAUCUGGAUUUAGAUAUCUUGAAAAUCCAGUAGACUUUUGGAAUUUUGAAUAUUUUCUUUCUUCAUCUCGAGCAUUCGUGAAAAUUAAUUUAUUCAAAUCUUGAUGGUUGAAAUAGAAUUUCAGACUGUUCCUAAGACAAACCAGCAAUCAGAGUUUGCCAUAGCUUUUACAAACUGUCAUAAAUUGGAAUUAUUUUAAGAUGAUCAAACCAAUUUUCUCAACGUGGAGCACGUCUUACUGAAUUGUGCUUUAUAUUGAAAGCGAUUUCAUAGUAUUGUGCAGAUAAGAAACUUUCACCAUGUUUUACACGAAAAUCAUAUUUUACUAUUUUUCAAUAGUGGGUCGCAAAAAAAAAAGAUGGGUUGCCCAUCCAAAAAGUUUGAGAACCUAUGAUGUAAUGCGUUAUGCAAUAAGUGGAUGCUGUCACAUGGGAUUUUGAGAAUUUCUAGCGAGAGUUUAGGGUUUGCUAUUCGAAUUCAGGAUCCUUUCUUUCCUACGUUUGUCGAGGUGAACUAGCCGAGGACUGAAAGCCUCGUUGAUAAAAUCGAUAAUAAUAUUCAGAUUGUUGAGUAUUCCAACGGAAUCUUUUGAAUUCCUAUCGUGCUUCUGAGAAUUACAGUCGGAAUCUUUAUAAAUUUCCAUCAAAAUUGUAACCGUUUGGUUACAAAUUGUUGAUUUUUGUUUUUGUUUAAAUUGUUGAUUUUUGGACCCUUCACGUUUCUUGUGUAAUAACAGCAGAAAAUAUCACAGAAGCGUUAGGGUUUGUGCCGCUGUUAAUAAACAGGCUACCAAUUAUUCAUCAUGGUAGUCCUGGAGAAAUGUCAAUAAGACGGAAUGUGGGAAAAUUGAGGAAGAACGGCCAUUGCUAAUAACCGGCCUCUUUCUAAUUAGGCGUCCGUGUGCUGAAGACGUGGUGUUAAAGUGCAGUGGUUAUAAUACGAAUCCCCCCUAAGCCCUUAGCAGGAGCUAAGUGGGUGCAAGGGAAGAAUUUAGGCUCAGGACCUCUUGUUCUUGUCUUCUUUUCGGAUCUUCGGAUCCGCCGUCCAGCACACGGUUCGGCUCUAGAAGCCAUUAGGCUUCCUGGCCUAAAAGUUAAGGACCCUGUCCUCUGAAAGGACCCAUAUCUCGGGCCGGAGGCCCUAAACGUCAAGGAGAUUCCCCUCUCGGCUUUCCAAGGUGGCUAUGCCACGGCCGGCCGAUUAUCGUCUAUGAGGGAAGACGCCUGUAACCCCACCGUCCAGCAACGCCCGCUGGACCGUCAACGGAGUUCAGUACAAGCCCGUACAUCCGCCCGCUUCGCCAUUCCGGCGAGAGUUCCGGCCGCACAGCAGGAUUGGUGUCGCUGUGUCGGCCAUUCGUCUAUCCAACAACAAACGGCAGCGGUAUGUACCGGUACGAAACAUUAGAAUAUGACACACUUAACAAAUUUAACACCAAAUUGAAAUACACAGAACAACACGCACACGCCACAAUUAGGGAUUUUUAAUAAAUGUCCAAGAAAAGUGAAA